CCUGCCAUUAGUAGCGUCUCUUCUAGGCCCCUGGGAGGGAAAUUAAAGAGACUGGACCUCAAUAAUUUCUGAAACCAUGUAGCACAAAGCAUGUGCU